rnacentral:lncRNA from 1 species
GUCGGAUUGUUUUUUCAUGGUCCCGGUGUGUUUCCAUGUUGCUAGGGUGGGCUCGGUCUGCUAAGGCUGUGGUUGUUUUGCCUAGUUUUAUGGCAUUCUUGUGCUCUGUGAGUCUCUGUCGUGGCGUCCUGCGUGUUGCCCCUGUGUGCGAUGCAUUCGUGUUUUCGGGUGGGGGCGUCACUGGUGAUUCAUGCACUCCCGGUCUUUCGCUGUCUUUUUUCGGGUCCUUCUCAUUUCUUAUCGCAUUGAGGAGGGUGGGAGGUCUCUUUGUGGUUGUUCUUCUGUCUGUCUUUUCUGUCGUUCUCU